rnacentral:ncRNA from 1 species
AUAGAAGCGCCGGAGCCGGGCGGGAUGCGCCGGCUGACGAGGAUGGAGGUUGCGCAAAAGCGCGAAAAUCGAAGGGUUCGGCGGAUGCCUCCCGUCUGCCGUGAGGCGAAAGGAUCGCAGAAAAACCGCGGGGCGACCUGCGGGACAAAGGGC